CAGUUUCGUACCACGUAAAUAACGUGGCACUCUCCACGUGGCAGUUCGUUAAGAAGCUAUAGGUCAAACAUAGGCUAUUUUAUCUGAAGAGUGCCACGUUAUUUACGUGGUACGAAACUG